GACGAACGCUGGCGGCGUGCUUAACACAUGCAAGUCGAACGGUGAACCUCUUCGGAGGGGAUCAGGGGCGAACGGGUGAGUAACACGUGGGCAACCUGCCCCCGUCUCUGGGAUAACUCCAAGAAAUUGGGGCUAAUACCGGAUGUUCACCGCUUCCCGCAUGGGUGGUGGUGGAAAGGGUGUCCGGCGAGGGUUGGGCCCGCGGCCGAUUGGCUGGUGGGGGGGGUAAUGGCCUACCAAGGCGACGACCGGUAGGCGGGCUGAGAGGAUGACCAGCCACACUGGGACGGAGACCCGGCCCCCACUGGUGCGGGAGGGAGGGGUGGGGAAGAUUGGGCGAGGGGCGAAAGCCUGAUCAAGCAGUGCGGCGGGAGUGGUGAUGGCGUUAGGAAUGUAAUGCCCUUUUGCCCGGGAAGAUAAUGACGGUACCGGGAGAAGAAGCCCCGGCUAACUCCGUG
rnacentral:rRNA from 1 species